rnacentral:rRNA from 1 species
UGGUCAAGUUAUUAAGGGCGCAGGGCGGAUGCCUUGGCACUAAGAGCCGAUGAAGGACGCGAUAAGCUGCGAUAAGCUUCGGGGAGUUGCACGUAAACUUUGAUCCGAAGAUUUCCGAAUGAGGAAACUCACUUAGAGUAAUGUCUAAGUAUCAUUAAGUGAAUACAUAGCUUAAUGAGGGGAACCCGGGGAACUGAAACAUCUAAGUACCCGGAGGAAAAGAAAGAAAUUCGAUUCCGUAAGUAGCGGCGAGCGAACGCGGAAUAGCCCAAACCAGUGAAGUUUUCUUCGCUGGGGUUGCGGACACAUCAUCAACGAAGAGGUAUCGUAAACGAAGAGAGUUGGAAAGCUCCGCUAUAAAGUGUAAUAGCCACGUAGUUGAAACGAGAAGACUUUAGAUGUGAUCCAGAGUACCACGGGACACGUGAAACCCUGUGGGAAGCAGGAGGGACCAUCCUCCAAGGCUAAAUACUACUUAGUGACCGAUAGCGCAUAGUACCGUGAGGGAAAGGUGAAAAGAACCCCGGGAGGGGAGUGAAAUAGAACCUGAAACCCUGUGCUUACAAGCUGUGGGAGCACUUUAUAUGUGUGACCGCGUACUUUUUGUAGAACGGGCCAACGAGUUACGACAGUAAGCAAGGUUAAGUACUUAAGGUAUGGAGCCGUAGUGAAAGCGAGUCUUAAAUGGGCGUUAAGUUUUCUGUCGUAGACCCGAAACCGGGCGACCUACCCAUGAGCAGGAUGAAGCGAAAGUAAAAUUUCGUGGAGGUCCGAACCCACGAGCGUUGAAAAGCUCGGGGAUGACUUGUGGGUAGCGGUGAAAUUCCAAUCGAGCCCGGAGAUAGCUGGUUCUCCCCGAAAUAGCUUUAGGGCUAGCCUCAAGGUUGAGAAAUACGGAGGUAGAGCACUGAAUAUCCUAGGGGGCAUUGCGCUUACCGAAGAUUAUCAAACUCCGAAUGCCGUUAUUUUAUACUUGGGAGUCAGACUGUGGGUAAUAAGAUUCAUAGUCGAGAGGGCAACAGCCCAGAUCGUCAGCUAAGGUCCCUAAAUGUAAGUUAAGUGGUAAAGGAUGUGGGAUUGCAUAGACAACCAGGAUGUUGGCUUAGAAGCAGCCACUCAUUUAAAGAGUGCGUAAUAGCUCACUGGUCGAGUGAUCCUGCGCCGAAGAUUACCGGGGCUAAAACUUACUACCGAAGCUACGAUAUCAUUUAUGAUAGGUAGGGGAGCUUCCUAUGCAGGCUGAAGCAUGACCGUAAGGACAUGUGGACAGUAUAGGAGUGAGAAUGUUGGCAUGAGUAGCGAGACGUGGGUGAGAAUCCCACGGGCCGUAAACCCAAGGUUUCCAGGGGAAGGUUCGUCCGCCCUGGGUUAGUCGGGACCUAAGCCGAGGCCGAAAGGCGUAGGUGAUGGACAACAGGUUGAGAUUCCUGUACCACC